GUGUGUAGAAGAGGGAGGGAGGUAUCUUGAAGAGAUGAUGCUCUAGGUCUAUACCACAGACCUGGGGUCAGGGAUGGGAAGGGUCAGGUUCUGCUUUACGGCACUGCCCAGGCCUGAGGCUUACCUGCGACAGCUGUCCAACUUCCAGGUAGAAGCAGAUGAUGAACGCAUUCCAGCCGACCCAGAGCACCAGCCAGGCUGCAUACUGGGGAGAGCAGAGGUACCAACAGGGUCAAUUUCAUAGGAAGCUUUUCCCUCAAGACAGCCAUGUAAGGAGGUCACUGAGGAUCAGCAGGGCACGUGGGUGAGUCUCACUGAAAGCAGGAGUUUGAGAGGCCAAGAGGAGGUGGGGGAGGGUGUUGGGGACACAGUCAGACCCCUGGGGCUAGAGGGCAGGGAGCCACUGACUUCAAAGCCACACUCGUGGCUCCAGUCCUUGAUGAACAUCAGUCAGCAAGGACAAAACCCAAGCCCCACAAAGCCCCCUCAGCACUCUGAGAAACAGCCUGAGGCCCAUCCCUCCUGUGGCUGUCCCCAGGGCUUACGGAGGCGUGAUGGGGCAAGAGCCUUGGUUCCAGACCUGAAGUUCUGAUCCCGGCUCUGCCUCACUAGCUGUGUGACCUUAGGAAGCCUCAUGACCUUUCUGAGCUUCAGCUUCCUCAUCUGGAAAAUGGAGAUGGUAGGACACACCUCACGGGGCCCACGAAAAUCUCAGUAGUGUGCCCGGUGCAUGCUGGGUACUUGCUAAAUGGAAUAUCUUGUUGAUGCUGGGACUGUUUCUCUGGAAAAUUCUUUGAGAAAAAUAUCAACCUGGUCUCUGAGCAAAGGUCCUUUGGGACCUGGACGUUCAGCCCCUCGGCGGUGGAGGCCAAUGCCAGUCCAUCUGGACCCAGGGUUGGAGGAGCAGGCAGGGCUGGGUGGACAGGGGUGAGGGCAGGGGCUGGCUCAGGAAGGGGCAGUGAGUCAUACCAGGAUGAGGUACCGGGAGCGGUACUGCACGGUGCCGAAGAUGCCCAGGAUGACGGCCAUGAUGUGCAGGAAGUUGGCCAGGAUGGGAGCCCACUGGUAGCCCAGGAAGUCAAAGAUCUGCCGCUGCAGCGCAGCCACCUGUGGGAGAGAGAGGCUGAGCCCACGGUGGUCCUGGCGAGGGAAGGUCAGACACGCCCCCUUGACCUGUGGAGCAGGUGAUGCCAGUUACCAUGGCGACGAGGCAAGUCUCAGAGACAUCCAGCUCCUCAGUACCAGAGGGAUGCUGGGAAGUGGGGGCAAAUCUGUAGGAGCGAGGGAGGGGCCCCAAAGCCUGGUCAUCACUUCGGGGUGCGCUGGAGGGAGGCAGGAGCCAGGAUACCCCCACCCUGCUCAGGACACCCUCCCCACUGGGGCUCCAGCUCCUGCCCCUUCCCCACCUGGGAAGGCUGCUGGGGUCAGGGCCCAGGCUGCUCCCCAGCAGGUGAGGGAGAGGACUGAACCCCAGCCCUAGGGAAAGCCCGGAGUCUGUCACCAAUUAGAAGUUGUCCUGGCCCACGGAAUCCCCAGGCCGCAGAGAAGGGAUUUUUUUUACUCCCCUUCCCUGAGGGAGCUAUGGUAGAUUGGUUGCUUUGCCCAAUGAACUUCAGAAGAUGACGCAUGUGAAAGUUUGAGAAAGGAGUGCCCUGGCGCUUGCCCACCUGCUUCACUUGUAACAGAGACCACCCAGUGAAGGAGCCCGAGCUGACUUGAUGGAGGACGAGGGUCACCUGCUGACAGCCAGUCACCCUCAGACACAUGGCCCAGAGCAGGAUUGCCCUGUUGGCCCGCAGAAUCAUGAGCUAAACAAAAUGACUGUUUUAAACCAAGA